UAGAACGCUGGCGGCGUGCCUAACACAUGCAAGUCGAGCGAGAAAGUUCCCUUCGGGGAGCGAGUACAGCGGCGCACGGGUGAGUAACGCGUGGGUAACCUACCCUCGAGUGGGGGAUAACUCGUCGAAAGGCGGGCUAAUCCCGCAUACGUCCCGCAGACCCAUGUCUGCAGGGAAAGAUGGCCUCUGCUUGCAAGCUAUCGCUCUUGGAUGGGCCCGCGUUAGAUUAGCUUGUUGGUGAGGUAACGGCUCACCAAGGCUCCGAUCUAUAGCUGGUUUGAGAGGACGACCAGCCACACUGGAACUGAGACACGGUCCAGACUCCUACGGGAGGCAGCAGUGAGGAGUAUUGCGCAAUGGGGGAAACCCUGACGCAGCGACGCCGCGUGAGUGAUGAAGGCCUUCGGGUUGUAAAGCUCUGUCAGAGGGAAAGAAAGGGGAUGCGGAAUAAUACCCGCAGCCAUUGACGGUACCCUCGGAGGAAGCACCGGCUAAACUCCGUG
rnacentral:rRNA from 1 species